AUUGAACGCUGGCGGCAUGCCUUACACAUGCAAGUCGAACGGUAACAGGUCUUCGGAUGCUGACGAGUGGCGAACGGGUGAGUAAUACAUCGGAACGUGCCCGAUCGUGGGGGAUAACGGAGCGAAAGCUUUGCUAAUACCGCAUACGAUCUACGGAUGAAAGCAGGGGACCGCAAGGCCUAGCGCGGACGGAGCGGCCGAUGGCAGAUUAGGUAGUUGGUGGGAUAAAAGCUUACCAAGCCGACGAUCUGUAGCUGGUCUGAGAGGACGACCAGCCACACUGGGACUGAGACACGGCCCAGACUCCUACGGGAGGCAGCAGUGGGGAAUUUUGGACAAUGGGCGCAAGCCUGAUCCAGCCAUGCCGCGUGCAGGAUGAAGGCCUUCGGGUUGUAAACUGCUUUUGUACGGAACGAAACGGCUCUUUCUAAUAAAGAGGGCUAAUGACGGUACCGUAAGAAUAAGCACCGGCUAACUACGUGCCAGCCGCCGCCGUAAAAC
rnacentral:rRNA from 1 species